AUUGAACGCUGGCGGCAUGCUUUACACAUGCGAGUCGAACGGCAGCGGGGAGGAUCUUGCUUCUCUGCCGGCGAGUGGCGAACGGGUGAGUAAUACAUCGGAACGUGUCGAGAAGAGGGGGAUAACCACCCGAUAGGGUGGCUAAUACCGCAUAAAUUCUGAGGCAGAAAGCUGGGGACCUAGGAAUAGGCCUAGCGCUUUUUCAGCGGCCGAUGUCGGAUUAGCUAGUUGGUGAGGUAAAGGCUCACCAAGGCGAAGAUCGGUAGCGGGUCUGAGAGGAUGAUCCGCCACACUGGGACUGAGACACGGCCCAGACGCCUACGGGAGGCAGCAGUGGGGAAUUGUGGACAAUGGGGGCAACCCUGAUCCAGCCAUGCCGCGUGUAUGAAGAAGGCCUUAGGGUUGUAAAGUACUUUUGUUAGGGAAGAAAAGUCAGCUGUGAAUAAUGGCUGAUACUGACGGUACCUAAAGAAUAAGCACCGGCUAACUACGUG
rnacentral:rRNA from 1 species